GAUGAACGCUGGCGGCGUGCCUAAUACAUGCAAGUCGAGCGAACAGACGAGGAGCUUGCUCCUCUGACGUUAGCGGCGGACGGGUGAGUAACACGUGGAUAACCUACCUAUAAGACUGGGAUAACUUCGGGAAACCGGAGCUAAUACCGGAUAAUAUAUUGAACCGCAUGUUUCAAUAGUGAAAGACGGUUUUGCUGUCACUUAUAGAUGGAUCCGCGCCGCAUUAGCUAGUUGGUAAGGUAACGGCUUACCAAGGCGACGAUGCGUAGCCGACCUGAGAGGGUGAUCGGCCACACUGGAACUGAGACACGGUCCAGACUCCUACGGGAGGCAGCAGUAGGGAAUCUUCCGCAAUGGGCGAAAGCCUGACGGAGCAACGCCGCGUGAGUGAUGAAGGUCUUCGGAUCGUAAAACUCUGUUAUUAGGGAAGAACAAAUGUGUAAGUAACUAUGCACGUCUUGACGGUACCUAAUCAGAAAGCCACGGCUAACUACGUG
rnacentral:rRNA from 1 species